GCUUACGGCCAUACCACCAUAGGCACGCCCGAUCUACGUCUGAUCUCGGAAGCUAAGCAGGGUCGGGCCUGGUUACGUACUUG
rnacentral:rRNA from 10 species